GAUGAACGCUAGCUACAGGCUUAACACAUGCAAGUCGAGGGGAAACGACAUCGAAAGCUUGCUUUUGAUGGGCGUCGACCGGCGCACGGGUGAGUAACGCGUAUCCAACCUGCCCACCACUUGGGGAUAACCUUGCGAAAGUAAGACUAAUACCCAAUGAUAUCUCUAGAAGACAUCUGAAAGAGAUUAAAGAUUUAUCGGUGAUGGAUGGGGAUGCGUCUGAUUAGCUUGUUGGCGGGGUAACGGCCCACCAAGGCUACGAUCAGUAGGGGUUCUGAGAGGAAGGUCCCCCACAUUGGAACGGAGACACGGUCCAAACUCCUACGGGAGGCAGCAGUGAGGAAUAUUGGUCAAUGGGCGAGAGCCUGAACCAGCCAAGUAGCGUGCAGGAUGACGGCCCUAUGGGUUGUAAACUGCUUUUAUAAGGGAAUAAAGUGAGCCUCGCGAGGCUUUUUGCAUGUACCUUAUGAAUAAGGACCGGCUAAUUCCGUGCCAGCCGCCGCCGUAA
rnacentral:rRNA from 1 species